GGUCUCGUAGCUCAGUUGGUAAAGCGUGCUCGUACAAAGCGUAGGCGGCGUCCAUGUGUGGGUUCGAAUUCCACCGAGGCUA
rnacentral:tRNA from 1 species